rnacentral:rRNA from 1 species
GGAGUUAGCCGGUGCUUCUUCUGCGAGUAACGUCACAGAUGUAAGGUAUUAACUUACACCCUUUCCUCCUCGCUGAAAGUGCUUUACAACCCGAAGGCCUUCUUCACACACGCGGCAUGGCUGCAUCAGGGUUUCCCCCAUUGUGCAAUAUUCCCCACUGCUGCCUCCCGUAGGAGUCUGGGCCGUGUCUCAGUCCCAGUGUGGCUGAUCAUCCUCUCAGACCAGCUAGGGAUCGUCGCCUAGGUGAGCCUUUACCUCACCUACUAGCUAAUCCCACCUGGGCUUAUCCAUCAGCGCAAGGCCCGAAGGUCCCCUGCUUUCCCCCGUAGGGCGUAUGCGGUAUUAGCAGUCGUUUCCAACUGUUAUCCCCCACAAAUGGGCAAAUUCCCAGGCAUUACUCACCCGUCCGCCGCUCGUCAUCUUCAAAAGCAAGCUUUUGAAAUGUUACCGCUCGACUUGCAUGUGUUAGGCCUGCCGCCAGCGUUCAAUCUGAGCCAGAUCAAACCU